rnacentral:rRNA from 1 species
AAUGAACGCUGGCGGCGCGCCUAAUACAUGCAAGUCGAGCGAGAAGACGUAGCAAUACGUUUGUAAAGCGGCGAACGGGUGAGGAAUACAUGGGUAACCUACCCUCGAGUGGGGAAUAACUAGCCGAAAGGUUAGCUAAUACCGCGUACGCUUCUUGGACUUCGGUUCAGGGAGGAAAGCGAUGCCGAGGGUAUCGCGCUCUUGGAUGGGCUCAUGUCCUAUCGGCUUGUUGGUGAGGUAACGGCUCACCAAGGCUUCGACGGGUAGCUGGUCUGAGAGGACGAUCAGCCACACUGGCACUGCGACACGGGCCA